AGAACAGUCUGUACUAUACAACGGUGAACACAAAUAUGUUUGAAUUUUUCGUGAUUCUUUGUGUGAUUUCGUUGGCACAUGGGUGUUCUCCAAUAACUGAACACGAUCAAACCAAGUAUUGUCGAACUCAGUAUGCUUUCACUGGCACUGUCAUUAGUAAUAAGGAAAACGACAUUGAAGCUGUCUUUAGAAUACGCGUCAAUUCAAACAUAAAGGAGCGACUGGCGAGUCCUGGACAGAUUAUCACUGUUUACGGUAGAGGUACUCUGAACUCUUGUGGUCCCACACGGCUGGACAGAAACAAGGAAUAUAUCUUAUAUGUUUCAAUAUAUGAUGCAUCCACUGGAAGACCUGAAAUCAACGAGUUUUACGAAGCCACCGCCACAUAUGUCAACAGAAUCAAUAACUAUGAUUGUUCAUGCGAGGUGGAAAUGAAUCUUCCAUGGCAACCGAGUCCUGACAAUACAACACCAGCUAAGGACAAGUGCGUCAUCACCCGAAACGAAUUUGACUGUUCAUUUGAAAAAGGAUACUGUGCAAGAAGACGCAAUAGAUAUGGUCUUGGUCCAUGUAGAUGGAUUGCCCCAGACAUCGUGUGUCCCCAAAAUUAACAUUCAAAGGUUUUAUGAGAGACAAAUUGUCCAAGAUUUUAUUUUAUAUCAGAUACAAUGAUUUAACAUUCAUUCAGUGCUGACAAUACUAAUAAAUUGAAGAAACACUGGAAUCGAUCAUUGUUUAUUGAUAUUCAUUUGACUCUGUCUAAUAAUUCGGUGUGUACAUAUUUAUAUCAGUAACCAGAAAUAUUACGAAAUUACAUGCAUUACAUUUUAUUAUUCAAUAUGGUGUCUAAGAAGGAAUGCUUAAUUAAGUUGUAUGAUGCACUAAAUAUCUAAGAGGUUGUAUGGUCAUCAAAUUACCUAUCAGGUCUACCUUAAGCCUUUUUUUUCUUGAUUUGGUUUAAGCCUUAUAAGCUGCUAUCUAUAAAAGAAAAAUUCC
rnacentral:misc_RNA from 1 species